rnacentral:lncRNA from 1 species
CCAGCAUAUGAGUGGGUUUUCAUAACACUAAGGAGCCUUACUGUGUGUAGGUGAUACCUACACUUCAACCAGGAGUUCUGACAGAUCAAGGACUAUUGCCCUACCAGCUGGGGAGUGACACGAGAGAGGCAUGGGCAAGGAACCAGUACAGGGAGCCCACUUACCUGGGAGAGCUGUACAAAGUUCACUGCAAAGGGUGAAACCUGAAUUGUUUGCAUUAUGCGUGGGUCUUUGGCAGAUAGAGAUGGGGAGACAGGACAUUUCCGCAGAAAGGACAAUGUGCAGGCGUGAUGCAGCAUGAUUUUUCAGGGGGACCAGAAGCAGCCCCGGGCACAGCGGUCACCCCGGUGGAGUCAGCGGCACCAUGAGAGGCGCUACCCAGGAACAGCUCUGUGCACCUUGACUGCUCACCGGCCAAGCCCAAGUCCCUGAGCCUGCUCCUGACACCCAGUCGGCUUGCUUCCCCGCCUCAUCUUUGACUGCUCUUCCUUUCAGUCACCCCUCAUCUUCCUUCUACUUCUAUGCAGGUCCAAGCAUACUUACUGUGGCUUAUUUUGUUCCCUCUGCCUGAAAGAGGUCUCUUCACCUGUCAAACUCCCGGGUACCCUUCAGACUGAGAUGAUUGUCCCCUUGAAUGUGAAUUUCCCUGAGGCAAAACUCACCGGUUCUGCUGCUGCGUCUGUGUUCCUUCAACCCAUUCUCCACACAGGGCCAGAGCCAUCUUAGCUCCAGGCACGUCACCAGUUCACGUCCCAACGAGUUUAGAAUGAGUUCACAUUCUUUGGUGGCCACAUGCCUGCCCUACUGGCUCAUCUCUGACCUCACUCUCACCAUGCUCCUCUUCCUUCUAGCACCAUCGGCCUCCUGGCACUUCCUGGAACUGCCUCAGGUCUUUCCUCUUGCCUCAGGUCCUUUGCACAAAUGAUUCCCUCCUCUCUUUCCCUGGAAUUCUCACUGUGUAUCUUCCAGAUCUCUGCUUAAAUGUCGUCUCCUCAGACAGGCCUUCCACACCUUCCUCUCCAAAAGAGGUUCUCACCAUUGUCUCAUUAUAACAAGGCUAGUCUAAGUCCAUAUAUGCUGCUAUAACAAAACACAUAGAGGGGGCAGCUUGUAAACAACAGAGAUGUAUUUCUCACUGUUCUGCAGGCUGGGAAGUCCAAGGUAAAUGUACUGG